AGAGUUUGAUCCUGGCUCAGAACGAACGCUGGCGGCGUGCGUAACACAUGCAAGUCGCGCGAGAAAGUCUCCGCAAGGGGGCGAGUAAAGCGGCGCACGGGUGCGUAACACGUGGGUAACCUGCCUAGGAGACCGGAAUAACCUUCCGAAAGGAGGGCUAAUACUGGAUAAGACCACGGGGGCUUCGGCCUCUGCGGUAAAAAGAUGGCCUCUGCAUGCAAGCUAUCACUUCUAGAGGGGCCCGCGGCCCAUCAGCUAGUUGGCGGGGUAACGGCCCACCAAGGCAACGACGGGUAGCUGGUCUGAGAGGACGAUCAGCCACACUGGAACUGAGACACGGUCCAGACUCCUACGGGAGGCAGCAGUGGGGAAUUCUGCGCAAUGGGCGAAAGCCUGACGCAGCAACGCCGCGUGAGUGAUGAAGGUCUUCGGAUCGUAAAGCUCUUUCGGCCGGGACGAAAACGGCUUGGCUAAUAUCCAAGUCCUUGACGGUACCGGAAGAAGAAGCACCGGCUAACUCUGUGCCAGCAGCCGCGGUAAUACAGAGGGUGCGAGCGUUGUUCGGAAUCAUUGGGCGUAAAGCGCGUGUAGGCGGUAACGCAUGUCGGGUGUGAAAGCCCUCGGCUUAACCGGGGAAGUGCGCCCGAAACUGCGUUGCUCGAGUGCCGGAGAGGGUGGCGGAAUUCCCGGUGUAGAGGUGAAAUUCGUAGAUAUCGGGAGGAACACCAGUGGCGAAGGCGGCCACCUGGACGGACACUGACGCUGAGACGCGAAAGCGUGGGUAGCAAACAGGAUUAGAUACCCUGGUAGUCCACGCCGUAAACGAUGGAAACUAGGUGUGGCGGGUGUUGACCCCUGCCGUGCCGAAGCUAACGCAUUAAGUUUCCCGCCUGGGAAGUACGGCCGCAAGGUUAAAACUCAAAGGAAUUGACGG
rnacentral:rRNA from 1 species